UACGAAGGGGGCUAGCGUUGUUCGGAAUUACUGGGCGUAAAGCGCACGUAGGCGGAUUUGUCAGUCAGGGGUGAAAUCCCGGGGCUCAACCUCGGAACUGCCUUUGAUACUGCAAGUCUCGAGUCCGAGAGAGGUGAGUGGAAUUCCUAGUGUAGAGGUGAAAUUCGUAGAUAUUAGGAAGAACACCAGUGACGAAGGCGGCUCACUGGCUCGGUACUGACGCUGAGGUGCGAAAGCGUGGGGAGCAAACAGG
rnacentral:rRNA from 1 species